GGAUAAGAAGCGAAUCUUGCAUUCAGUUUCGACCUGAAAAACUUGGUAAAUAUUACCCUUAUCCU
rnacentral:tRNA from 1 species